ACGGGAGGCAGCAGUGGGGAAUAUUGCACAAUGGGGGAAACCCUGAUGCAGCGACGCCGCGUGAGCGAUGAAGUAUUUCGGUAUGUAAAGCUCUAUCAGCAGGGAAGAUAAUGACGGUACCUGACUAAGAAGCUCCGGCUAAAUACGUGCCAGCAGCCGCGGUAGUACGUAUGGAGCAAGCGUUAUCCGGAUUUACUGGGUGUAAAGGGAGCGUAGGCGGAAGGCUAAGUCUGAUGUGAAAACCCAGGGCUCAACCUUGGGACUGCAUUGGAAACUGGUUUUCUAGAGUGUCGGAGGGGUAAGUGGAAUUCCUAGUGUAGCGGUGAAAUGCGUAGAUAUUAGGAGGAACACCAGUGGCGAAGGCGGCUUACUGGACGACAACUGACGCUGAGGCUCGAAAGCGUGGGGAGCAAACAGGAUUAGAUACCCUGGUA
rnacentral:rRNA from 1 species